GCAUAAUGACAUCAACCUACAGACUAGGUUACCAAGUAAACCAGGCUGACCUCAAGCUUUUCCUUCUCCUUCCCGGUCAUUCACUGAUGGGAUACAUAAUGACUUGGAAGUGGACACUCACUGCUUACUUUUUUGAGAGGAGGAAAGCAAAUGUGUGUACAAACUCGGUUCAAUGUCACCAGGAGUCAGCCAGUGUUUCCCUCCCCAAAGUUUAUGAGCAUGCUUAAUCAUUAUCAGCUACCAGAAUCAUCAAGUCGAUGGAUUCCCUUUGACUUUCUGUCCAGGCCACACUCUGGCCACUCUUCUAAACAGUGUUACUGCCUUGUGUUCACGUUUUGUUUGGAAUUGAAACUUGGUAAAUCGUAAAUAGAACUGGGAGCUUCCAUGCCACCAAUGGUUCACUUCUAAACACAUGGCAAACUGGCAUCUGCUCCCAGGGACCACAGUAGAAUUGCCUUUCCUGAUGCUCUCAGUGUUUUCCUAGAUUUCACACUCAGUUAUUAAAGCCACAAUUUUU
ensembl:lncRNA